rnacentral:tRNA from 1 species
GGGCCUGUAAUCUAGCCUGGAUAGGGUGCCCGGCUUCGGUAUCUGGGAGAGGACAUCUCUCAGAGGGGGAGACUGGGAUGUCGCAGGUUCGAAUCCUGCUAGGCCCA